CUUCAGCAGGAGGCGGCACCGAUUGGCUUGUAAUUGCUAUCAAUGCAGCAUUUGUGUAAGUGUAGGUUGAGUGUGUAUCUGUGUGUACAUUCUCUCUCCGUUUGGGCAGUAUGGUGGUUAUCUGUGUUGGCAAAAAGCAGCCAAUUUAACUGGUGAAAUGCAUUGUGGGCUGUGAUGGUGUGUUACAGGGUGAGUGGGUUUUGUGGGUGCCAAAAGAGGAUGAAAAAGCAUUUCUGCUACUCUCAGCAAACAGGAGCUUAUACCCAAAGCAUCCUUAUGUACGAAUAAUGCUCUCUCUCUUACACACACACACACAUUCACACACAUAAACACAACUAAAGGCACAAAUACAAAUGUUUUUCUCUCUUAUACCAGCUUUGAAUGGCACCUCAUUUGUGCAACUGUGAGCGCUAAGGGCCCUCCUCUGCAGCUCAUCUGAUUGGGUGUGUGCGCAUGGGCGCCCAUGUGUGUGGAAUAUUUACGACUGUAUAUGAGCGUUUGUGUGUGUCUGAGCGAGCGCGCUUGUGUGUCUGCGCAGGGAUGGGGUGCUGUGAAACAGAGGCUCUGACUCCCAGCAGUCCUUUGUCACACUGACUGACUGCUGAAAGGCUGAAAGCAGGAAAAGCCAUUUCAGACUGCGGGGCUAAAUGAUGGCAGGUACUCCGAUCUAUCCGCUGCUCGCUACAAUAACACAAUACAGACCAGUCAUCAACAGGCCUGUCAUCUCCAUCGGUAAAUGCACUUCACACAGCCCCCUUCAUCUCUCCUCCUACUCUGACUGCCACUCAAACACUUUUGUAACUGUCCCCUAAACCCAAUUGGCCCUUUAUAGGUGAAGUAGAGCCAGAUUCAGAGAAAUUAUUUUCACGGCUUCUUUUUCCUCGAGUUUUCUCGUGCCUUCUCUGUCCUCAAUUUCUCAUAAAGUUUCUGGUGAAUUUACCGCUUUUGUUUCAGCGGUGGGUGUCACUUGGCUUUAAUCUAUGACUAACUUGGAGUGGCCGUGUAUUUCUGUUUCUUCUUGAGCCUGUUGAUGAAAUUAAUGACUGGAAUGACUAAAUGGGCCGUCACAAAACACGACUCUGGAGACGGCGCAGGGGUGGGCGGGCUUUCAUAUGGGCCAAGAGCUUACAUGUACAGCUGUUACAGAGACAAAAAAAGAGGAGGGUUUUUUUUUGUUGUUUUUUUCAAGGUGAGUCAGGAAAGGGGAGGGGGGCCGAGACAGAGAGAAAGCAUGCAGUAAAAGGGUGGAGGUAAAGGGGGAAUAAAAACGGGUGUCAGAGAGGGAGGAAGAGGUAGUGUUGUAAGUAAAAGCAGGUCUGGUCCAGGUGGGGUUCAGACAGUCAGAGUGUUAUUUUAGGAGGGCAGAGGGAGGGUGAGAGAAAGGGAUGGAUGCAGGGGAGGGGAAGAUGAAUGUAGUUAAUUAAGAUGAGCAGGCGGAGGAGACAGUGUGGAAUUACACAAACACUAAUUAGAGUCUUCGUUAGGGGGCACAAAACCAGAGCAGCACAUCCAUCAUCACAACCCUGCAUCCCUCUUCCUUUCCCUCUUCCCUUACCUCUGUUCUGCGCUGCCAGUGCUCCUGCAUGGCGACCAUAUUUUCCCCCCACUUCCCCCUGCCGCCUCUUGUCCCUCCUCUGCCACUUUUCCCCCUCCCUCCAUCUUCCCCUUUGCUUUCUCACUUUUCCCUAUUGAUCCCAUCAGCGGUUAACUAAAUAGGUGCAAUUUAACAUGUGGGAUUGUAAUCGAAGCAGCCUGCAUUUCCCCUCCUUCGCUUUGAUUUCUUCUCUUUAUUGUCACUUUAUUCCUUUUUUUAUCACUACUCUGGGGAGGAUUUCAUCUCCACCCCUCCUCUUUCCCCCUGUAACAUGCUGACAAACACACACACACAUGAACGGUGCCAUGUCAGCACAAUUUAUAUUGUCUCUCCAAGCCAGUCAAUGCUGCUCCUCCUACAUAGAGUAUACAAGACACUGUAGACCAUUUUCACCUUUUCUUAUUCAGAUUUCUCCCUUGUUUUUCUCUCCCUCUCUCUCUUUUUAAACAUAGGCUCUAAGCGCUUCUGUUGUCCUCUUAAUGGUCUCUCCGUCCUCCUCUGGCUCAUCCCUCGCUCUCUGAUCUAACAGAGGAGUCUGUCACUGUUGUCUCCCCUGAUGAGAGCACAGGGAUGGAGGGAAUAAUGAGGGAUAAGUUUGGCUGAGGGUGGUCCAGUACUGGUCCUUGUCCUGGCAUUCAUAUACAUACACACAGCAGGAGGCAAACAUGCACUGUCUGGUCACAAUGCAAAUCAUAGUUAAAAUGGCCUGAAAUGAGCCAGGAAUUCACAAUAAUGUACAAGUUUAGCCCUCACAGUUUAUGAAAAUGUUUUUAAAAGGACAUUGUAGAGAUUAAACUUAUCCCACAUGGAGUCAUUUGAUCUGUUUUGUGUCACCAUAUCCGAGAAUAAGCUGUUAAGAAUGGAUCAGAAAUGUCAGAUAAUUGUUUUUACAGGGCUCUUUUGGCAGGUAAUACUGUUUUAAUCUGAGGUAUCAGCUUUCCGAGGUUCAAAGCUGAUUUGGAGGCUUUCUUAACGCAAUUACGGUUAGACAUUGCAGUUAAACAAGACGUUUAAAGAGCUGGUCUAGACUAUACUCUGUUUACAAAGGCCCGAUGUGAGGAUGGGAUAAGAUAGAGCCCUGUCAUGUAAGAUCAGACCCACAUCCCAUCUUCAACCACAUGAGUGUAGCACUUUGUGGCAUUUAUCAAGUUAAACUUCCUUUAACAGGCAGAAACCUCAAGCAGAACCAGACUUAUGUCAGACAGUCCUCUACCACUACUGCAUUGGGUUUAAAAAAAAGGAGAGCGGGAGAUGGAGAAAGAAAGAGUCAGACAGAGGAGAGGAUGAUGCACGUACUGUAGCUGAAGCAGCUAAGAAGCAGACAGGACCACGGCAGCAAAACGUCUGCAGCAGUGAUCCAGAGGAGCCUACAAGGAUUUCCAGAAAAGACUGUGGCUUAAGACUCCUAUGAGACAUGAUACAAAAAUAAAGAAAAAAAAAGGAAAACCUAGAAAGAAACGCCAAGGAGCCAACUCUCGAUUUACAUGUGUUUCCUACAGGACAGACACCUGUUAAAAAAUUCAAUGUGCUGAAGUACUAAAAACUGCAGUUCCCCCAUGUGUCCACUUGGAGCUGCCUCUGAAAACCAAGGAAGUCUCAUCAACACCUGUUGUUGUUACUGCGCAUGUCAAAAUACCCAAUUCUUGGAAAAAUAAACUUGUUUACCGUCUGAAACAAAAAGCAGCUUUGGUCUGAAUAGCGAGUGUCUCUUUUCAUACUCACUGAGAAACAAACCAAGAUAUUUGAGCUACAAAUUUUGCAUAUGUAGUCAAAAUUUUUGCAUAAUGAGUCAGCAUGUUUACACGCACAGUUGAGUUCAGCUAUGGUUCUAGCUUGAUUAGGAACUUUGACUGGGCUACUAUCAUUGUCCCAGUUUACAAGCACCAGGCAAAAACGAAUUCUUGACAGACGCUUGUCCACCUCCACUCUAGUAGGUGACGACAUGCCUCUUUCAAUGUCUUACUAUUUGGUCAUCUCCUGGUUGCCGUAUUCUGUAUUGGAACAGUUGGUAAAAUGCUUUAGCAAGAGGCUAAUGGGAUGUACAUCAAAUGACAAAAAUGUCACUUUGUUUGAACAAUGGGAACAUUCUGAAAAAAAAUGUCCUUUUACUGUCAUUAUUACCUGGCUACCAAGCUACACGUCCAUUAUUAUCCACACAUACAUGAUUUAACGUUCCGCUCAAAGCCUGUUGUGCAUACAGAGAAUACUAAGGCCAAUUUCAGUCUGACCAAGCUGACUGAGAAAAUCUAUCCCCAACCUCA